UCGGGAAUUUUGGGCAAUGGGCGAAAGCCUGACCCAGCAACGCCGCGUGAAGGAUGAAGUAUUUCGGUAUGUAAACUUCGUAAGAAUAGGAAGAAUAAAUGACGGUACUAUUUGUAAGGUCCGGCUAACUACGUGCCAGCAGCCGCGGUAAUACGUAGGGACCAAGCGUUGUUCGGAUUUACUGGGCGUAAAGGGCGCGUAGGCGGCGUGGUAAGUCAGAUGUGAAAUCCCCGGGCUUAACCUGGGAACUGCAUUUGUGACUGCCAGACUAGAGUGUAGCAGAGGGGGGUAGAAUUCCACGUGUAGCAGUGAAAUGCGUAGAUAUGUGGAGGAAUACCGAUGGCGAAGGCAGCCCCCUGGGCUAACACUGACGCUCAUGCACGAAAGCGUGGGGAGCAAACAGGAUUAGAUACCCAGGUAGUCCCUGAGCGGGCUGGCAAGGCGCAU
rnacentral:rRNA from 1 species